GGCGGAGCAAAAUGGCAGGGUGAGCUGACCUGGGAUUCUCUCCCCUCCAAAAUACAACAAAGGAUUGGAAAAACUGAAUUUCAGAGAAUAAACCUAAUGCCAGCACGUUACAGACCUACAAUACCAAGAAGGCGGAGAUCUUAAACCCUACUUACGGCCUCGGAGGCGCUGGAACGGUAGGAGAGAACAUCGCUCCCUCUCCUAGAGUCUGCGAUUGCUGCGGCGCGGGUCAGGAAGGAGCGGGGGAGGGGCCGCGCGACCGGGGGAUCAUCCAGGACUCCUGCCACUGAUUCAGUGGAGACCCGCUGACGGGGGGGAAAGCUUCCGUCCGCGGGGACCCUAUAAAUCAAGGGCCUUGGGAGACCAGAGAACAGAACUGAUCUGAACCCAGACCAGCGCGUUUGUGGCAUGUGGGACGCCGCCUCAGCGUGGUCUGAUGAGCAGUGCCAUGUCCGCGCCCAGUAUUCGAACCAACGAAACACUGGGCUGCCUGCAGCCCAGCGCUUGAACUUAACCACUCGGCGGCGGGGCCAGCCCCUCAAGAUUUUUAAAACAAAGCAGAGAGGAACAAAGCAGAGCGCAGGCCCAGUAUCAAUGUAUAACUCUGGAUGCUCACUCAGCACAUCGUGUGGUGGGACUAACUCAGCUGUGAGCACUGAAGUUCACAGCAGCCCCAGGGAGGACUCAGUUCACACUCGGCAGCAGCAGAAGGCAGAAUCCCCACAAGACGUGAAAGAACCGACUCUGCUGGUCAGCAGGAGGCCAGAGGGUCUUCUGAGUAACCCUCCAGUCUGUUCUCUGCUGCUGAAGAACAAGGACGAUGAUUCAACUCCUAAACAGUCCCUCGCAAGGGAUCUUGGACUGCUUUCCACGUAUGUGGUCAUCGUCAUGAGUCUCAGCUGCUUGAUCUGAUUCAACAAUUAAUUUUGUUUACAGAUUUUUCUCUAUAUUCCUAAACAUUGUUUUGGGGAAGAAAAAGCCACUUCUUUAAGGUAACUUAUUGUCAUCUUCCUAGACUUAACUUGAUUGCUGACUAUGAAUACAAAGGAUUAGUUCUUUUGAAGAGAAUGCUUCUUAAUUAUACACAGUAGAAAUGUGAUUACUCAUGUUCCUUCAUUAACCUGAAUAGUUUGUGAGAAAUAAAAAGUGUAAGAAAAAG
rnacentral:lncRNA from 1 species